UAAAUUUUGAAAUUUAAAAAAUCUAUAAUUAAAAUUUUAAAUUUCAAAUUUAAUAAUUUAUAAAUUUACAUAUUUAUAAAUUUAAAAUUUAAAAUUUAAGUUUAAAUUUAAAUUUUGAAGAUUGAAAAUUAAAAAUUAAUAUAAAAUUAAAAUUUGAAAUUUGAAAUUUGAAAUUUGAACUUUUUGAAAUUUGAAAUUUGAAAUUUGAACGUUUUGAAAUUUGAAAUUUGAAAGUUGAAAUUUGAAAGUUGAAAUUUGAAAUUUGAAAUUUGAAUUUUGAAAUUUGAAAUUUGAAAUUUGAAAUUUGAAUUUUGAAUUUUGAAAUUUGAACUUUUUGAAAUUUGAAAUUUGAAAUUUGAAAUUUGAAAUUUGAAAGUUGAAAGUUGAAAGUUGAAAUUUGAAAUUUGAAAAUUGAAAUUUAAAAUUUGAACUUUUUGAAAUUUGAAAUUUGAAC
rnacentral:lncRNA from 1 species